CCUACGGGUGGCAGCAGUGGGGAAUAUUGCACAAUGGGGGAAACCCUGAUGCAGCGACGCCGCGUGAGUGAAGAAGUAUUUCGGUAUGUAAAGCUCUAUCAGCAGGGAAGAAAAUGACGGUACCUGACUAAGAAGCCCCGGCUAACUACGUGCCAGCAGCCGCGGUAAUACGUAGGGGGCAAGCGUUAUCCGGAUUUACUGGGUGUAAAGGGAGCGUAGGUGGUUCGGUAAGUCAGAUGUGAAAGCCCGGGGCUCAACCCCGGGACUGCAUUUGAAACUAUCGUACUAGAGUGCAGGAGAGGUAAGUGGAAUUCCUAGUGUAGCGGUGAAAUGCGUAGAUAUUAGGAGGAACACCAGUGGCGAAGGCGGCUUUCUGGACUGUAACUGACGCUGAGGCGCGAAAGCGUGGGGAGCAAACAGGAUUAGAUACCCUUGUAGUC
rnacentral:rRNA from 1 species